rnacentral:rRNA from 1 species
UACGUAGGGUGCGAGCGUUAAUCGGAAUUACUGGGCGUAAAGCGUGCGCAGGCGGUUCUCCAAGUCCGCUGUGAAAGCCCCGGGCUCAACCUGGGAAUGGCAGUGGAAACUAGGGGACUGGAAUCUGGCAGAGGGGGGUGGAAUGCCGCGUGUAGCAGUGAAAUGCGUAGAGAUGCGGCGGAACACCGAUGGCGAAGGCAGCCCCCUGGGCUGAGAUUGACGCUCAUGCACGAAAGCGUGGGGAGCAAACAGG